GUGUGUACAGGCUGUUAUGGUCGGUAGGACGCGUGUUUGUAUUCUGUAAGGUCUACAGGCUGUUAUGGUCGGUAGGUCGUGUGUUUGUAUUCUGUAAGGUCUACAGGCUGUUAUGGUCGGUAGGACGUGUGUUUGUAUUCUGUAAGGUCUACAGGCUGUUAUGGUCGGUAGGACGCGUGUUUGUAUUCUGUAAGGUCUACAGGAUGUUAUGGUCGGUAGGACGCGUGUUUGUAUUCUGUAAGGUCUACAGGCUGUUAUGGUCGGUAGGACGCGUGUUUGUAUUCUGUGAGGCAUACAGGCUGUUAUGGUCGGUAGGACGCGUGUUUGUAUUCUGUAAGGUCUACAGGAUGUUAUGGUCGGUAGGACGUGUGUUUGUAUUCUGUAAGGUCUACAGGAUGUUAUGGUCGGUAGGACGUGUGUUUGUAUUCUGUAAGGUCUACAGGAUGUUAUGGUCGGUAGGACGUGUGUUUGUAUUCUGUAAGGUCUACAGGCUGUUAUGGUCGGUAGGACGUGUGUUUGUAUUCUGUGAGGCAUACAGGCUGUUAUGGUCGGUAGGACGUGUGUUUGUAUUCUGUAAGGUCUACAGGAUGUUAUGGUCGGUAGGACGUG